rnacentral:sRNA from 1 species
UCAAACAAUCACGUCCCGCGAGCUCACAC